rnacentral:tRNA from 1 species
GGGGAUGUAGCUCAGCUGGCUAGAGCGCUUGACUGGCAGUCAAGAGGUCGUGGGUUCGACUCCCAUCUUCUCCACC